rnacentral:rRNA from 1 species
CCUACGGGUGGCAGCAGUCGAGAAUCAUUCACAAUGGGGGAAACCCUGAUGGUGCGACGCCGCGUGGGGGAAUGAAGGUCUUCGGAUUGUAAACCCUAGUCAUGUGGGAGCAAAUUAAAAAGAUAGUAUCACAAGAGGAAGAGACGUCUAACUCUGUGCCAGCAGCCGCGGUAAUGCAGAGGUCUCAAGCGUUGUUCGGAAGCACUGGGCGUAAAGCGUGCGUAGGCGGUUGCAUAAGUCGUGUGUGAAAGGCGGGGGCUCAACCCGCGGACGGCACAUGAUACUGCGAGACUAGAGUACAGGAGGGGGAAGCGGAAUUCUCGGUGUAGCAGUGAAAUGCGUAGAUAUCGGGAGGAACACUAGUGGCGAAGGCGGGUUCCUGGACAUUAACUGACGCUGAGGCACGAAGGCCAGGGGAGCGAAAGGGAUUAGAUACCCCUGUAGUC